rnacentral:sRNA from 1 species
AAGUACCUCACUUCACCGUUGUAUAGUACCAUCUCCUAUUUUUGUUUCUGUGCUGUGUUUUUCCUGAGUACUCUUUUCCAAAUUUGGUCACACAGAGGAUUGUGUGAUUUAAGUUUGGGGGAGGGCUCAAGUGUGUGUUGCAUUGUAUAUACU